CCUACGGGUGGCUGCAGUGGGGAAUAUUGCACAAUGGGGGAAACCCUGAUGCAGCAACGCCGCGUGAGUGAAGAAGUAUUUCGGUUUGUAAAGCACUAUCAGCAGGGACGAAGAUGACGGUGUCUGAGUAAGAAGUCCCGGCUAACUACGUGCCAGAAGCCGCGGUAAUACGUAGGGGGCAAGCGUGCUCCGGAUGUACUGGGUGUAAAGGGAGCGUAGACGGUGAGCCAAGUCUGAAGUGAAAGCCCGGGGCUCAACCCCGGGACUGCUUUGGAAACUGCCUGACUGGAGUGCUGGAGAGGGAAGCGGAAUUCCGGGUGUAGCGGUGAAAUGCGUAGAUAUUAGGAAGAACACCAGUGGCGAAGGCGGCUUGCUGGACAGUAACUGACGUUGAGGCUCGAAAGCGUGGGGAGCAAACAGGAUUAGAUACCCGAGUAGUC
rnacentral:rRNA from 1 species